rnacentral:rRNA from 1 species
GACGAACGCUGGCGGCGUGCUUAACACAUGCAAGUCGAACGGAAAGGCCCUGCUUUUGUUGGGUGCUCGAGUGGCGAACGGGUGAGUAACACGUGAGUAACCUGCCCUUGACUUUGGGAUAACUUCAGGAAACUGGGGCUAAUACCGGAUAGGAGCUCCUGCUGCAUGGUGGUGGUUGGAAAGUUUCGGCGGUUGGGGAUGGACUCGCGGCUUAUCAGCUUGUUGGUGGGGUAGUGGCUUACCAAGGCUUUGACGGGUAGCCGGCCUGAGAGGGUGACCGGCCACAUUGGGACUGAGAGACGGCCCAGAAUCCAACGGGAGGCAGCAGUGGGGAAUAUUGCACAAUGGGCGGAAGCCUGAUGCAGCAACGCCGCGUGCGGGAUGACGGCCUUCGGGUUGUAAACCGAUUUCGCAUGUGACGAAGAGUGAGUGACGGUAAUGGGUAAAGAAGCACCGGCUAACUACGUG